ACAGGUCUCCGUAGGUGAACCUGCGGAGGGAUCAUUACAAGAACGCCCGGGCUUCGGCCUGGUUAUUCAUAACCCUUUGUUGUCCGACUCUGUUGCCUCCGGGGCGACCCUGCCUUCGGGCGGGGGCUCCGGGUGGACACUUCAAACUCUUGCGUAACUUUGCAGUCUGAGUAAACUUAAUUAAUAAGUUAAAACUUUUAACAACGGAUCUCUUGGUUCUGGCAUCGAUGAAGAACGCAGCGAAAUGCGAUAAGUAAUGUGAAUUGCAGAAUUCAGUGAAUCAUCGAAUCUUUGAACGCACAUUGCGCCCCCUGGUAUUCCGGGGGGCAUGCCUGUUCGGGCGUCAUUUCACCACUCAAGCCUCGCUUGGUAUUGGGCAACGCGGUCCGCCGCGUGCCUCAAAUCGUCCGGCUGGGUCUUCUGUCCCCUAAGCGUUGUGGAAACUAUUCGCUAAAGGGUGUUCGGGAGGCUACGCCGUAAAACAACCCCNUUUCUAAGGUUGACCUCNGAUCANGUAGGGAUACCCGCUGAACUU
rnacentral:rRNA from 1 species